GACGGGGGAUGCAAGUGUUAUCCGGAAUCACUGGGCGUAAAGCGUCUGCAGGUGGUUUCCUAAGUCCACUGUUAAACCUUGAGGCUCAACCUCAAAUCUGCAUUGGAAACUAGGAGACUUGAGUAUAGUAGGGGUAGAGGGAAUUUCCAGUGGAGCGGUGAAAUGCGUAGAUAUUGGAAAGAACACCGAUGGCGAAGGCACUCUACUGGGCUAUUACUGACACUCAGAGACGAAAGCUAGGGGAGCAGAUGGG
rnacentral:rRNA from 1 species